rnacentral:rRNA from 1 species
CAGUAGCCACGGUAAUACGUAGGUCCCGAGCGUUGUCCGGAUUUAUUGGGCGUAAAGCGAGCGCAGGCGGUUAGAUAAGUCUGAAGUUAAAGGCUGUGGCUUAACCAUAGUACGCUUUGGAAACUGUUUAACUUGAGUGCAAGAGGGGAGAGUGGAAUUCCAUGUGUAGCGGUGAAAUGCGUAGAUAUAUGGAGGAACACCGGUGGCGAAAGCGGCUCUCUGGCUUGUAACUGACGCUGAGGCUCGAAAGCGUGGGGCGCAAACAGGAUUAGAUACCCCAGUAGUCCCUGUCUCUUAUACC